AUUCUUGUUUUAUGAUUAAAUGAGUUGAACAGGACUGUUACUAUCAUAAGUGUAGUGCAAGUAUCAAGUUUUUUUUUAGCUCACCUGGCUUUUGUCGUACGUCGUAGUCUGUUAAGUUUUACAAAAACCUUCCUACUUGGCCACAUUUAUCCAAACUUAGUCACAAUCAUCAGUGCCAGUAUUUAGUUUAUUUUGAAAGGCUAGGUCAUCAGACACAUUUAAAAAAAAAACCAGCC
rnacentral:lncRNA from 1 species